UUAAGCGACUAAGCGUACACGGUGGAUGCCCUGGCAGUCAGAGGCGAUGAAGGACGUGCUAAUCUGCGAAAAGCGUCGGUAAGGUGAUAUGAACCGUUAUAACCGGCGAUGUCCGAAUGGGGAAACCCAGUGCAAUUCGUUGCACUAUCGUUAACUGAAUACAUAGGUUAACGAGGCGAACCGGGGGAACUGAAACAUCUAAGUACCCCGAGGAAAAGAAAUCAACCGAGAUUCCCCCAGUAGCGGCGAGCGAACGGGGAGCAGCCCAGAGUCUGAAUCAGCUUGUGUGUUAGUGGAACGGUCUGGAAAGUCCGACGGUACAGGGUGAUAGUCCCGUACACCAAAAUGCACAGGUUGUGAACUCGAAGAGUAGGGCGGGACACGUGGUAUCCUGUCUGAAUAUGGGGGGACCAUCCUCCAAGGCUAAAUACUCCUGACUGACCGAUAGUGAACCAGUACCGUGAGGGAAAGGCGAAAAGAACCCCGGCGAGGGGAGUGAAAAAGAACCUGAAACCGUGUACGUACAAGCAGUGGGAGCACCUUCGGGUGUGACUGCGUACCUUUUGUAUAAUGGGUCAGCGACUUAUAUUCUGUAGCAAGGUUAACCGUAUAGGGGAGCCGCAGGGAAACCGAGUCUUAACUGGGCGUUAAGUUGCAGGGUAUAGACCCGAAACCCGGUGAUCUAGCCAUGGGCAGGUUGAAGGUUGGGUAACACUAACUGGAGGACCGAACCGACUAAUGUUGAAAAAUUAGCGGAUGACUUGUGGCUGGGGGUGAAAGGCCAAUCAAACCGGGAGAUAGCUGGUUCUCCCCGAAAGCUAUUUAGGUAGCGCCUCGUGAAUUCAUCUUCGGGGGUAGAGCACUGUUUCGGCUAGGGGGUCAUCCCGACUUACCAACCCGAUGCAAACUACGAAUACCGAAGAAUGUUAUCACGGGAGACACACGGCGGGUGCUAACGUCCGUCGUGAAGAGGGAAACAACCCAGACCGCCAGCUAAGGUCCCAAAGUCAUGGUUAAGUGGGAAACGAUGUGGGAAGGCACAGACAGCCAGGAUGUUGGCUUAGAAGCAGCCAUCAUUUAAAGAAAGCGUAAUAGCUCACUGGUCGAGUCGGCCUGCGCGGAAGAUGUAACGGGGCUAAACCAUGCACCGAAGCUGCGGCAGCGACACUAUGUGUUGUUGGGUAGGGGAGCGUUCUGUAAGCCUGCGAAGGUGACCUGUGAGGGUUGCUGGAGGUAUCAGAAGUGCGAAUGCUGACAUAAGUAACGAUAAAGCGGGUGAAAAGCCCGCUCGCCGGAAGACCAAGGGUUCCUGUCCAACGUUAAUCGGGGCAGGGUGAGUCGACCCCUAAGGCGAGGCCGAAAGGCGUAGUCGAUGGGAAACAGGUUAAUAUUCCUGUACUUGGUGUUACUGCGAAGGGGGGACGGAGAAGGCUAUGUUAGCCGGGCGACGGUUGUCCCGGUUUAAGCAUGUAGGCUGAUUAUCCAGGCAAAUCCGGAUAAUCAAGGCUGAGGUGUGAUGACGAGGCACUACGGUGCUGAAGUAACAAAUGCCCUGCUUCCAGGAAAAGCCUCUAAGCAUCAGGUAACAUCAAAUCGUACCCCAAACCGACACAGGUGGUCAGGUAGAGAAUACCAAGGCGCUUGAGAGAACUCGGGUGAAGGAACUAGGCAAAAUGGUGCCGUAACUUCGGGAGAAGGCACGCUGGUGUGUAGGUGAAGCCCCUGCGGGUGGAGCUGAGACCAGUCGAAGAUACCAGCUGGCUGCAACUGUUUAUUAAAAACACAGCACUGUGCAAACACGAAAGUGGACGUAUACGGUGUGACGCCUGCCCGGUGCCGGAAGGUUAAUUGAUGGGGUUAUCCGUAAGGAGAAGCUCUUGAUCGAAGCCCCGGUAAACGGCGGCCGUAACUAUAACGGUCCUAAGGUAGCGAAAUUCCUUGUCGGGUAAGUUCCGACCUGCACGAAUGGCGUAAUGAUGGCCAGGCUGUCUCCACCCGAGACUCAGUGAAAUUGAACUCGCUGUGAAGAUGCAGUGUACCCGCGGCAAGACGGAAAGACCCCGUGAACCUUUACUAUAGCUUGACACUGAACAUUGAGCCUUGAUGUGUAGGAUAGGUGGGAGGCUUUGAAGCGUGGACGCCAGUCUGCGUGGAGCCAACCUUGAAAUACCACCCUUUAAUGUUUGAUGUUCUAACGUUGGCCCCUGACCGGGGUUGCGGACAGUGUCUGGUGGGUAGUUUGACUGGGGCGGUCUCCUCCCAAAGCGUAACGGAGGAGCACGAAGGUUAGCUAAUCCUGGUCGGACAUCAGGAGGUUAGUGCAAUGGCAUAAGCUAGCUUGACUGCGAGCGUGACGGCGCGAGCAGGUGCGAAAGCAGGUCAUAGUGAUCCGGUGGUUCUGAAUGGAAGGGCCAUCGCUCAACGGAUAAAAGGUACUCCGGGGAUAACAGGCUGAUACCGCCCAAGAGUUCAUAUCGACGGCGGUGUUUGGCACCUCGAUGUCGGCUCAUCACAUCCUGGGGCUGAAGUAGGUCCCAAGGGUAUGGCUGUUCGCCAUUUAAAGUGGUACGCGAGCUGGGUUUAGAACGUCGUGAGACAGUUCGGUCCCUAUCUGCCGUGGGCGCUGGAGAAUUGAGGGGGGCUGCUCCUAGUACGAGAGGACCGGAGUGGACGCAUCACUGGUGUUCGGGUUGUCAUGCCAAUGGCACUGCCCGGUAGCUAAAUGCGGAAGAGAUAAGUGCUGAAAGCAUCUAAGCACGAAACUUGCCCCGAGAUGAGUUCUCCCUGAGACUUUAAGUCUCCUGAAGGAACGUUGAAGACGACGACGUUGAUAGGCCGGGUGUGUAAGCGCAGCGAUGCGUUGAGCUAACCGGUACUAAUGAACCGUGAGGCUUAACCU
rnacentral:rRNA from 1 species